rnacentral:misc_RNA from 1 species
ACAGAAACGCUCAGUCUUCUGCCCAUAGUUGCAAUCCUAUACGCCAAGACUACGCCUCAAUAUUCAGCAGCUUCUGGGUAUAUUAGCAUCUUUUUCUUGAAUAAAGCAGCAACAUUUUAUACCAAAUACGAUGCACUAAUGUUCAUCGCUUGCCCUUAUCUGUGCCAAUGUUGAGGUGCUCAAAGCUCCGAAGCUGAUCAUCACGAGUGUCUUUUGUGGCAGUGCCAUGGGAGACUUUAGACCCGGCUCCAGAAUGGAUUCUGU